UUUUUUUUUGUACAUUCUAGUUUUGAUACAGCUGUAUUUCUACAGGGUACAACAAGAACCUGUCCAAUUUACACCACCUUCUAGCUAGUUUUGGAAUUGGCAGGGUUGUGGAAUAACGGUUCCUGAUUCUUGCCAUUUUGCAUUCUGGCAAGUGCUUUCUGUGUCACCCUUGCCGCCCUCCAUUUUGAGGUCGAUAUUCUCCAAGACAAUGUCGGAGCAUGAGAUGCUAUUGCUGCAGCUAAGCUUGAUGGCAUCCUUGGAGACGGUUGUCCCUCUAAUGUUCUUGAAGACGACAUUGCUGACCUCUACCGCAGACCCCCAACUCUUACAUGGCUUGGCGGAGUCGCAGUAGUUCUGGUCAAUGAUUAUGGGGUUUUGCACAUUGUCCAUGAUCAUGUUCUGGAACGUGAUGCCCUUGGCAUACCCGCUUCCUCCCUGCCAUGUCUUGAUCCGGGCACCAUUGGUGGUGCCGUAUAAUUGCACCGAGUCGAUUGUGAUGCCGGAGACCUCGGCUCUAGAAUUGUCGUCUCCUAAGCUCCCGACACUAAUUCCAUGCCCCGGACCACAAACAACUUUGCUGACAAAAAGAUUGCGGGUCCCAUUCUCGAUGGAGAUGCAGUCGUCCCCGGUCUUGAUGACACAAUCUUUGACUUGCACAUCUUUGCUGCGGGUGAUGUGGAUACUGUCGGUGUUGGGGCUCGUGCCGGGCGCCGUGAUGGAGAGGCGGGCCAGCUGCACUGCGUUGCAGUCCUCCACGGAGAGAUGGAUCUGCUGGCUGUUUACAAGCUUCAGAUUCUCCACCUGCAGAUUGGUGCACAGGUGAAACGUCAGAGCCGUGGGCGCCUUGGUGCACGGCAGAGCCUUGUUGGUCUUGCAUGAGUUCGUCCACCAGACGUCGCCGUUGCCAUUGAUCGUGCCGCCACCGGAGACGGUGAGUCCGGUGACGCCUUGGAUCAUGAUCCAGCGACUUGUGUCGUUGUCGCGCCACGCCGACCUGCUCCGUGGAGCCACCAGCGUGCCUUUGACCAUGAAGACGACGCUGGACUUGCAUGGGCCAGACAGGGUGACGGAGUUAAGCAGGUAGGUCUUGCCCUCGGGAAUGAGCAGCAUGGCCGGCCGGGAGGAGGAACACGCCGCGUUCCACGCCUUGGCCAGUGGCUGCGUGUCGUCGUGCUUCCCGUCGCCAUGGGCACCGUAGUUGUCGACGAUGAAGACAUUCUGCUGAGUCUCGGCGGGCGCCGGGCUGGCCUCGCUCGCCCCUGCACUGGAUGCCAAGAGCAUCAGGACUAGAGCGGCCGCCAUGAACGACGCCAUGUGCAGCAGCUAGAGACAAAGCAAACGCAAGAGUGAAGAUGAGAUUGCACUGUACGUACGUGGCCUGGUUUGUAGCGUGGUGUUUGGUCGUAGGACUCGCUAAGAGAAGCGUACAAGUGAUCAAGCCGAUGAAGACGAAGUGCCGCCGGCGAGGAGUAUUUAUAGGCGGCAUGCAUGUGGAUGUCGUUCGGCGUUGCUUGUGAUGGAGAAGCUAGUUUAGUUAGCUUGGCAAGAGUUAGGCGUGGAUGCAUGUGUUGUGGAGUACGCAGAGCUGCAAACGCACGUCCAUCCAUCACCCGUGCUGACUGCGUGCACGAACGGUUCAGCCAGGUGUUGUGCAUGGCCACUUGGCAACAAAGGGGAUAAACAUGCCAGAUUUGUCCGACUCGCAGGCUUUGCACGACAAAAAUCUGAAUCUUCACGUAUAUACCCAGCUCCCCUGUACGUAGUGCCCACGCGAACUUAGAUAUAUCCAUGGUUCGGAAGGCCCCCUUGCGUUGUCCCAAAGGUAUCACCUAACCAGGUGUAGUGCUGUUACAUACAAUAGUACUCGCUUCGUCCGGAUUUAUUAGACCCCAUCGUAUAAUAAAUCAAACAUUGACCAUCUAUAUAUUUGACUAACAAAAUAUAAACUAUGUGCCACAAAAAGUAUAAUGUUUGAUUUAUUAUAAAGAUUUUUUCUUUAAGAAAACUAACUGAUCUAUUCAUGCCAGUAUAACGAACAUCAGAAAUAAUAAAAAUUACGUCUAAAUCCAUAGAUCACCUAGGGACGACUGCAAGAACUAAAGCGAGCCGAACGCCUGUCAUCACCACUCCCUCGCUGGAGCCAGGGAAAAAUUGUUGUAGUAGACAGUCAGGAAGUCGUCGUCCUAAGGCCCCAUAGAACCAGCGCAUCAGAACAACAACCGCCGCUAAUGAAGAGCGUAGAUCGGAAGGAUCCAACCUGAAGCCAAACUAACGUAGACGAACGACGACCAAAUUCGAGCAAAUUCACCAAAAACACACUUCAACACGUCCACUGAUGAUGCUAGAUGCGCCACCAAGAUUGGGGCUAGGCGGAAAGAACCUUAUUUCAUCUUCAAGGAGCCGCCGCCGUCUCGUCUUCCUGAGGAGGAAAUAAACCCUAACAAAAAUUGAAGAAACAUAUAAAAACAGAGCCCUCCCGCCGGUAAGGUCCAGGAUCCACCCUGCCCCCAUGGCCCUAAGGCCACCGGAGAUGAGAUAGACCAGCUAUGGUGCCGGCGGGAGGUAGAGAAACCCUAAUCUCUUUUUUGAAGCAAGAGGUUUUCAAUGGUAUAAUUUUUAUGACAUGGAGUAGUUUACAUUUUAUGGUAAUGCUAUUAAGCUGACGUUCGCCGGGAGGGAAUGGCAAAUCAGACGUUUUUUUGCAGCAAUAUAUAUUGUCGCGAGGAUGGCAAAUUUACUUGGUAAAAAACUAAACUGAUGUAGAAUUUUCAUACUUGCCAACUAAACUUGCUUUCAUCAGCCAAUAUAAAUUGCCAUGCAAAUCGUCCGCAAUUGCUAUGCUUCCCGGCUGACUUUCGCUAGUUUAGCCUGUCCUUAUUUUAUAAGUCCCAGCAAAGAGGUGUGCAACUAGGGACAUGGUUUUUUUUUAUUUCUUGUGUAAUAAGAUCAUGGAAUUAUGCUAAGAAAAAAGAACAUUGAAUGCACUACAAAGAAAAGCUCAUACGCAACAGCCUGAGGAAAGAAUGACUUCACAUUGAAAGAGUUGAAGGAAACUUGGUGCGUAAUAACUGUAUGACUAAUUGGAUUAUACCCCGUAGGUUGCUACGGAAAUUGGUUACAGUAUAUUCACUGAAUCACUGAGAUUGGAUUGUCUGGAACAUAUUCAAAUUAAAAUAUAAACUGAAACCAAACAUAUAUAUGAUUUAUUGUAUUUUGUAUUGAAUAGUUGUGAGAUAUUGAUUUAAUAUAAAUAGCAUAAUUAUUAAAAAAUUAUGUGAUGAUGGAGGGGCGAUGAGGACGGCGCGCCUUCAGCUUGCUUUAAUGCUUGUAGCGUCGUUAGGUGGUCUACGGAUCUAAAUGUAAUUUUUAUUAUUUUCGGUGUUCAUUGUAUUGCCAUAAUUGAAGAUGAAUAGAUCAAAAAUUGCAUAAUUAUAAAAAAAGCAUUCAUGAUUUUAUAUUAAGGUGGACUUUACCGAAAAAGGCUUUCGCCCCGCUGCUUUAAUGACCCUCAUACAUCCGAACCAUACAACACGGCACCCAAACACAGACACCCAAAGUAAAAUACAAAUGUGCCGGAGAUCAGCUAAGCCAACUCGAAGUGAACAAAAAAUGUACAACAAGCAUCACUACGAAGAUGGCGGAGCCCUCCACCGAGAGCAAGCUAUCGUGAAGAACACGGCUGACCGCCGAUGAACCGUGAACCCCAAGGUAGUUCCUUCAGGAAGGACGCGACACUAGAGCACCACCACCACCCGAUCCAAAGGAUCAAUAUUUUUAUCUGGAGCAACAUGGAGAAUCAGAAGAGACUGCGACCGAGCCUACAAGAAGGGGACGACGCGUGCGGGCGCUGCCACCGCCGGUCUGACAAUAGUCAGACAAGGAUUUCACCCCGGCGUACCACUCCACCUCCGGGGUGCGCCCAGUCGAAGAGACCUGCCGCACCACCACCACAUAUCACCGAGCCUGAGGCACCCCGCCGCCACACGACCAAGGUCACUAGUACGCACCCGAGCUAGGAGCUCCACCCGCGAACACGGUAAUUUCCACCACAGAGUCGCCGCCCUGCCAGCCGACACCGCCAUCAGCCUCCCAAAGGAGCGAAUCUCCACGACCAGCAGACCGCUACCAUAGUUGGUGCCGCCAACGCCGACACGCCUCGACAGAUGGAGCCGGAGGCAACCAGACCAGGGGAAAGAGGAGGGGGCAGAACGGUGCGAGACCUCGACCGGCACAUCCCCGCACUGGUGACGGCUAGGCAGACCACCCAUCCCUCCUGCCAGCCUCCUCACGUUGCCCCUUGCAACGCCCCACCACGGCCUCCAGGUCAGAUCGGCAAGGAGCACGCUGGACACCCGCCCGACGACGAGGGCGCCCAGACGGUCUAAAUUCGUCUCGGCGACGACCACAGGAGAUGCCACGUUGGGCCUUGCAAACCGGCCACUGGCAGACGCACCUGCACCCUGCCGGUGAGACGAUCUGCCCUGGAUGCGCACAUGCCCGCGGAGCCCACCACGCUACGACAUGCACACGCGACCCCGCUGCCAGCGCACGCCCGUCGCCAACAUGANNNNNNNNNNNNNNNNNNNNNNNNNNNNNNNNNNNNNNNNNNNNNNNNNNNNNNNNNNNNNNNNNNNNNNNNNNNNNNNNNNNNNNNNNNNNNNNNNNNNNNNNNNNNNNNNNNNNNNNNNNNNNNNNNNNNNNNNNNNNNNNNNNNNNNNNNNNNNNNNNNNNNNNNNNNNNNNNNNNNNNNNNNNNNNNNNNNNNNNNNNNNNNNNNNNNNNNNNNNNNNNNNNNNNNNNNNNNNNNNNNNNNNNNNNNNNNNNNNNNNNNNNNNNNNNNNNNNNNNNNNNNNNNNNNNNNNNNNNNNNNNNNNNNNNNNNNNNNNNNNNNNNNNNNNNNNNNNNNNNNNNNNNNNNNNNNNNNNNNNNNNNNNNNNNNNNNNNNNNNNNNNNNNNNNNNNNNNNNNNNNNNNNNNNAAGUGCCCCGCGCCACCAAAGACGCCGACGGGCUUUGCCCGUUAGUGUGCCCCGGCGGCAGCGAGGAGGGAAGGAGGGGAGGAAGGAGGACCGAGGCCGGCGGCUAGGUUUUGCCCCGGUCGCUCGGGGGAGCGACACGGGUGGGGGGAGGGGGAGGGGGGAGUCCUUUGAGUCUAACACUUUUCAAAUUGUAUGUUGCCCCCAAGGUGGACUUCUAUUCAUGCAUGAUUGUAUAUUGAGAUAGCAGGUUGAGAUAACGUGUUUGCAUGUUGAGAAAAGUGAACUAGUGUAGAUCAUCUGUUUAGUUGUAGUUCUGACGGGUGACUUGUACAAUUAGCCGAGGCAAUCCAUUAGCUAUCGUGUAGCCCAUGCUAAUUAACAGCGGAAAGACUAUUCAUCGUGGACCAGCAUGUUAUCGUGUAGCCCAUUAGCUAUCGUGUAACCCAGUGACGUACGUUGUCGAGUCCGCGAAGUUCAAACUACUGAAACGUGCUAGCUGCACGCUACGUACGUGGACGUUCCUACACGCCUAUGCCACUCUUACACGCAUUAUCCACACGUGGGAUCGUGUGUGCCCACACAAAUCUAACACCGCAGGCUUCACGUACGUACGUUUCGCCACGAAUGGCACGCCACGCCUUGGUUACGCUCAACACUCCCCCAAAGGCCAAAUUAAGCCCGGCCACCCGCAUCCAGAUUCGUGCAUGGCAUGAAACAAGAAGUGGGGCAGCGUACGUGCAUGGUGCAUUCUUUCUCCCGUCCUAACGAGGCCACAACUAAUCCACGUACGAGGAACCACUGUACAUUGCGACUAAUGUAUUCUCGGUGUAGAAAUUGACAAGUUUGGGCAAGAGAAACCGAAAUGCUACUCUUCUCUCUUACGUAGACGGUAAUCCACGUCUGAGCCCAUACUUAGAUGCUUUCGACGAACAGUAAGUUCAAGAAAAAUAGGGAGAAAAACCCCCCAGCAAAACACUCUUAAAUCUUGUUGGUAUCCAAGAUGCUUGUGUUUUCUAGGAGCGUGCAGAUUUUCGUGCCCAAGUAACAUUCGAGAAAGCUCAUGCCAAGAAAAACAAAAUUGAGCUUAAAUAGUGCAGUUCUUCAAAGUUUCUUUGAGAGCCAUUUUUUUCCCAUGAGCUCCUUGAAUGUUCAAACACCAUAAUUUUUACAAGACAUUGCGUAUUCGAGCAUCUUGGAUUCCAAAAAAUGUUUCGAGUUUUUAAAAUUUAUUUGGUGCUCUUUCUUUUAGGAAUUUACUAUCCACACACAGGUGUAGAUAAGCUAGGGCUCAGAAUAGCCACUCUCGUUUGUAGAUUCCUUUUCUCAUUGCACACUUUAUGAGUUGUCUACCCUCCACACAUCAUUACCGUCAUAUGGCUGCAAGCCUUCAAUUAACUCAAAUCACAUGUUGCUCCUACAAGAUUAGUAGACUAAAUGUUAAAUCAAUGCCGCAAAAGCUUCAAAACACACUACAUUCGCACUAAGAGUUCAAUUCACUUCUCUUGCGCGCGCGCGUGUGUGUGUGUGAGAGAGAGAGAGAGGAUGCUCUCGCUUCUAGCACCUGUCUCUCUUGACUUCUCUCUUCUCUCCACUUCACGGCCUCGCGGCAGCUGGUGAGUAGGAGGGGUUGCCAAACCCCCACCCUUCAGUAUGAGUUUCUACCCUCUACGCAUCAUUGUUGUCAUAUGGCCCUCAAUUAACUCAAAUCACAUGUUGCUCUUAGAAGAUUAGUGGACUAAAUGUUAAAUCAAGGCCAUAAAGCUUUCAAAACAAACAAAAUGCUCUCUCUCUCUCUCCCCCUCCCUCCCUAUGUGUGUGAGAGAGAGGGAAGCAACCCGGCCUUUACUCUAGACGCUCUCGCUUCUGGCACCGGUCUCUCGACUUCUCUGCACUUUACAACCUCACGGUUUCUAGUGAGUAGGAAGGGUUGCCAGACCUUGCAUUGGGACAACAUUUGAUAAAUGAUUUUAUGUUCUACCAGCUAGGGUUCUGGCAACUUGCCAUGUGGCUUUGGCAACAACAAAGGUAGUGGUGAAUAAGUGUGCUCUCCUUCGACUUCAAGUGAAGGUUUUCUGGUGGUGGUAGCCUUUUGGUGUGGAAUUUUGUCCUUUGGCUUCGCUAUUGUGGUGGCACUCUGGGACCGUUCCAAAACCUGGGAGUUUGCAUUGGAGACAACGGCCUUUGAAGACAACUGACUUCAGAGGAACACGCCGUUUGAAGUAAAGGAGUUGGCAUCGGACACCGAGAACAAGAGGAGCACGAGCAAGGGUGCUAGGAAGAGCCUCGUCACCAUUUUGCAUUCUGGAAUGUACUCCCCAUGCCACCCUUACCACCCUCCAAUUUAAGGUCGAUAUUCUCUAAAGAGUUCCUUGCUAGAACUCAGCUUGAUCCCAUGUCAUCCUCGAAAAUGGUAGUCCCUCUAAUAUUCUUGAACACCACAUUCAACACCUGUAUGGCUGAUUCCUGGCUCUUGCAUGGCUUCGCCGAGUCAUUAGUUUUGAUCAAUUUAUUUUUCAGGUUAUCCAUGAUAUUAUGGAAUACAAUAUCCUUAGCAUAUCCACUCCGUCCCUGACAUUUCUUGAUCCGGGCUCCGUUGGUCAUGCCAUAUAAUCCUACAGUGUCAAUGUAGAUAUAGAAAAUGUCAAAUCUGGAGUUAUCAUCCCCUAAUUAAGCUUCCAAUGUUGAUGCCAUGUCCCGGACCACAAACAACUUUGGUGUCAUGAAAAUUGUGAGUUCCGUUCUUGAUGGACAUGCAGUCAUCCCUCGUAUUGAUGAGACAAUCUCUAACUUGCACAUAUUUGUUGUGGGUGAUGUGGAUGCCGUCAGUGUUUGAGACAAUCUCUAAGUUUGAGAAAAUCUCUAACUUGCACAUGUUGGUCUGGGUUUAGUAGAUUUGAUUCUUGCUAGUAGAGUGGAGAUCGUUAAAUUUCCACUUUCCCGCUUCCAAUUCCAGUGGUGGCAACAUCGGCGGGCCAUUGACAUGUGCAGGAUGAACAAGAUAGCGGAAUCCCCAAGGACUAGUAAGUAAUUUCCAUUUAUUUUCUAGGGUUUUCUUGUAGUGAUGGUGUUCUAUUAAUAUAGGACAAUGCCUCAUUUGAAACAUCAGCAUAGCUUUGGAAAACCUUUACUCUUCCUAGAUGUAAAUAUAGAACCAUGAAUUAUAGGAAGAAUUGACUUUACUACGUGAUUGAAAUUAAAUUGUCAAUGAGCAUUGGAAGCUAAGAGUGUUAAACAUUAUUGUUCAUUUCAACAAGAAAACACCUACCGGUAACACAUUUCAUAUUAUUGGUAGAAACCCCCAAAAGGAACUACAACGAUGUAUGCAAAAGUAGGAUUUAUUAAUGAAUUUCCAUAGAAGCUUUAUAUUGUACAUUAUACAUGUCUAAACUAGCUCAUUUCCAUUACAGCUUAAUUUUUUCCUUUACAUGGUAGUGGAACAACAUUUCCUGACUUCCUCCAUUUUGCGUUCUGGCAGGUACUCUCGGUGUCACCCUUCCCACCCUCCAAUUUAAGGUCGAUGUUCUCUAAGGCAAUGCCAGAACACGGGAGAUCCUUGCUACAACUCAGCUUGAUGGCAUCCUUGGAAAUGGUAGUCCCUCGAAUAUUCUUGAACGCCACAUCCCGUACCUCUACCGCCGAAUUCUGGCUCUUGCAUGGCUUGGCGGAGUCACAGUAGUUUUGGUCAAUGAUAAUUGGAUUUUGCACGGCAUCCAUGAUCAUAUUCUGGAAUACGAUAUCCUCGGCGUAUCCACUCCCUCCCUGCCAUGUCUUGAUCCGGGCUCCAUUGGUCGUGCCAUACAAUCGCACGGUGUCGAUGUAAAUACGGGAUACCUCGGCUCUGGAGUUGCCGUCUCCUAAGCUUCCAAUGCUGAUGCCAUGUCCCGGGCCACAAACAACUUUUGUGACAUGAAGAUCGUGAGUUCCGUUCUCGAUGGAUAUGCAGUCAUCGCCGGUCUUGAUGAGACAAUCUCUGACCUGCACAUAUUUGCUGUGGGUGACGUGGAUGCCGUCGGUGUUUGGGCUGGUGCCAGGCGCGGUGAUGGUCAGCCGGGCCAAGUGCACGUUGCUGCAGUCCUGAACCGACACAUGGAUUUGUUGGCUGUUUACAAGUUUCAGGUUGUCCACCUUUAGAUUAGUGCAGAGGUGAAACGUCAGGGCCGUGGGAGCCCCCUUGCACGGCAGAGCCUUGUUGGUCUUGCACGAGUUCUGCCACCAGAUCUCACCGUUGCCGUUGAUGGUGCCGCCACCAUUGACGGUGAGGCCGGUGAUGCGCUGGAGGAAGAUCCAGCGCCUCCUGUUGUUCUCGGUCCACGCCGACAUGCUCGGAGGAGCGAUGAGUGUGCCCUUCACCUUGAAGACGAUGCUGGAUCUGCACGGGCCAGAGAGGGUGAUGGCCUUGAGCAGAUAGGUUUUGCCCUUGGGUACGAGCAGCACGGCCGGCCGGGACGAGGAACACGCCGCGUUCCACGCCUUGGCCAGGGCCUGCGUGUCGUCGUGCUUCCCGUCGCCACGGGCGCCGUAGUUGUCGAGGACGAACACAUUCUUCUGAGUGGAGCUUUUGAGGGAGCUGCCGGUCUCUUGGACUGAGUUGGCAUUGGACAUGGAGAGCAAGAGCAGGAACAGGGGUGCACACACGAGCCUGGUGGUGGUCGACGCCAUUUUGGGAGAGAUCUCAAAAGGAAUCGAAGUAUGAGUUUUGGAUGGACAGAUGAAGGCGUAGUGACGACUUUCUAGUUUCUAGCUAUGUGUUUGAUGGGAGAAGAAGAGUUGUGUGAGUAACGGAUGGAUGAAGACGAAGGGGCGUUGGCGAGGCGUAUUUAUAGGUGUGGCGCUGGUUGUGAUCAAUGGAGAGAGACAGGGCUAGGCUCUGGAGUUGGGCGUGCAGUUCGGUGCGUGGUUUGGUUGGGUGCGGCAUGCAGCGACAUAGCUAGCUAGCUAGCUCGUGAACCGAACGCAUUGCAUUGCAUACAUCACCAUGCAUACGUGCAGGAGCAUGAGCAAAGGGUGCGAGAGUAGGCAUUGUUGCAUUCAUGCAUGCAUGUUUCGCACCACAAAAAUCCAACUCCAUGCCCAUGCAGGCGUGUUUCUUCGUCUCUUCUAUAGUAGUACGUACUUAGUGUGUAGUAGUGCACGGGCCUUGGUUCUUCAGAUGGCACCGCAAUCAUCAUUGGCCUUCUUUAGUUUUGAUUGAUGAUCGGCACUAAAUUAAACAUGACUCCUUCGAGAACACGAAAAGGCAGCCGCUUAAUAAUAAUGGAAAAGUAGCGCCGUUCCUGCUGGCGCAAAGCGGUUGCCAUCAGCAGGAGACUGACACGUCGCUUGCACGCACGGACGUACGUAUACUUACUGAUACAAUGGAGCCAUGAUUAAGCGACGGACAAGCUUUUCUCGAUCUGGACCUGAACUAGGCCAGCGGCGCUUACCUAAUAACUCAUCGAAGCCGUUCGAUCCGUGCAUGCAUGUACCUUUACUUGGACGACUGGUACCAGUCCUUCUACAUUAUUCCGUUAAUUAGCUAUGAGCUGGCCUGAUGAUCAACCCUUGAAAUUGUGUAAUCGCCUCAGAGAAAAUCGGGAGUUCAACGUGCUCUCAUCGGACACAACAUCUGCCCCUUGUUGAUUGUAGCAUGUCGUCUCACCGGUCACAACGGCCGCAAUUGAUGGUUGAAGCAUUUAGUCAAAACAGUUGUAGUGUCCGUUGCUUGCAACAUUUUUCGUCGCCGAUUGCAACAUCUAGUUGUGCCGCUUGUAAAACCACAACUAUGCUGAUGUCACUCGACUGAGACAGUCUGAGUCGAUUGAGUUCUACCCACACCCAUUUACAAUUAUAUCUUAAUGUUCAUGUAAAUUUUUGUAUUUUCUAUCUUUUUGAAAUACUAACUGAAGUACCUUGUGUAGUACCUUCCAAAUGCAUCUAUCUAGAUUGUGCCAGUUAUUCCAACAUGGAACAUACUAACUUAUAUUGUUCCUGUCAUAGUUAGGAAUUGUUUUGAAUUAGUAUGUUAUUGAUAACAUAUUAAAUGAAUUUUUGGCUAUAAUUUAAAUUAAACUACACGUGACUCAAACAAACCUUAAAAUUCAAAUAAAAUUCACAUUUAAGUAAUUCCAUAAUUUUAUAGCUCCUACCUGUAAAAUAUAUAAUUAAUUCUAGGGUUGGCCUCGGGAAAGUCAAACAUGCAUACUACUGGUUUUAUUUAAAAAAACUACUUUUGGUCUAAAAAUAUGAAAUUUGUCAUACGACCAUUACAAAGUAUUAGGCAAUUUUACCAGACUUGGACAAUGCAUUUCUCUUUAAUGGAUGUAUAUUUGAGGAUACAUCACACCAUUCAAGGCAAACUAUGAAGUUUGUACUCCAUGAAACAUCUUCUUGAUAAAUUUCUUCUAAUAUUUUGACGAUUCAUUUAAAAUUAGUAUGCACAUGCGAUCAUGCUAUGUCCUCAUAAUACUAUGUUUAAAUUUUCAACAAUUUCAUAUAAGUUGAAAUUUUCAAUGUUUUUUGUAAUUGCUGAAUAUUCAAGGAUGCAUCAUACUAUCCCGGUCUUAACUCUUCUGUGUGGUAUUCAUUCUCGUUUGUCUCUUGGAAUCACAUCCAACAGUGGUUGGAAAAGCUCGCAAAAUCCAACCACUUCACCUAUCAUAUUGCCCCCAACCGUUUCCUGUACCUCUAUAGAAACCGAAGUGUUUCACGUUCUUUCAUCGAGAGGGUGUUCCUCUCCUUUUGUAUCUCUUUACCCAAUUUUGGUCUCAAGGAGUGUAAAAACACAUACGAGCGUGGCGCAGAAAGCGGAAUGUUGUGCAGCGAGUCAAGUGUAAUAUGAUCAAAAGGAAAAGGGGGCGAUGCUAAAACUCAAACAGUUCCCUAGAGGGGAGGCCCGGGUUGAAAGAGGAGCUACAUUCUUUCAUCGAAGAGAGAAAAUAAGAUGACUGAUGCAUUCUUACUUCAUCUUAAUAUAGGGAUGCUUUACGUAGCUUCCACUGAAUAGGAAACAAGAUGACCCAUGGGGCACUCAGUGACGUAUCUAAACCGUCUAUCCAGCAUUGGCUUUUCACACUCGGGAAUAUAAAACAUUCGGCACGGAAGGAGUACUAUUAUUUAUGUAUUAAAUUGUUUUCUAUCUAUCUACAAGAUUUGAUUCCUUAUUGAACUGCAUAUACCUCAAAUAAGUCUCUAAACUAAAAAAGCAUAUUAAGUAAUUUUGUAAAGAUUUAGUUCCUGUCAAAAAUACAUAAAUAAAUCUAAUGUAUUAUUUUUUGAAACUUUGAACCUUUAAAUGCAUAUUAUUGGUUUUCAGUUUUAUUUUUAUUUUUAUUUAUUCAGUCUAAGUAUCAUGUGUUUUUUUACAUGGGACCCUAUGUGACUUGAUAAGAUCCUGUUUAAAUUUUUAGGGGAUUUUCAGAAAACCUGGACUGCACAUUGUGUUUUAACACGAGCAUCUCUCAGGAAGCAUCAUCAUAUUCAAGGCAAACUAUGUGUCCCACGAGAAAGCAAGCUAUUGUCGUAAUUUACUCAAAUCUUCUAAAAAAUUAAUGUCAAGCUUAUUAGAAUUAUUUUUGCAAUCUUACAUUACACCUUUUUUUCCCAAAAACAUAUUGAAUCCUACUAUUGGCAUGCCUGCAAAUGACAUAAAUAUAUUGAUGGGGGAUUUCCACAUAUUAUUCAUUCUCUUGUGGGUUCACAUGAAGUAGUUAUUCUCUUUACAAGAGUAAGUUUAUUUUAAUUUUAGUUUUUCUAAAAGUGUGAAAUAGAAGAAAGAGAGAGAAAAACGAUAGAGAGCGCUGGACAGUUUGGGCUGGCUUCGGUUAGCUUCUUGACCAUAGCCCGGUGGGUAAAAAUAAAAGGAAAAAAGAAAGUAAAGAUGGGCUUUGGACCAUUUGUUAGUUGUAGACAUGGAAAGAAAAUAAAGGUACAGGGAGAAAAAUGGGCGUUGCCCAAUUUAUUUUAUUAUUUAUUCAUUAUUACAUUUCAAAAUAGAUAUACUUAAUUAUUUUUGGAGACAUAAAUGCAAAUGUGGAAAUAUUAAGAAGAUUUCCACAUAAUAUUAAUUUUUUUCUGGUUAAUAUGAAUAGUUUUGUUGUUUCCAAGAAUAAGUUGGUCUUAAAGUUAUAUUUUUUGUUAAAAGGAUAAACAGAAGAAACGGAAGAAAGGAGAGUGUUAGAUUGGUAGUUUGGGCUGACCUCGGUUAGCUUAUGGUCCAUGGCCCGGUGUGUAAACAAAAAAAAAAGGAAAAAGAAGAAAGCAAAGAUGGGCUUCAGCCCAUUUACUGGUGGGUGAAAAGGAAAUAGAAAUAGAAGGGCAGGAUCAAGAAAUGGGCUUUGGCCCAUUUGUUUUCCUUCUUUUCGCCAUUUCAACUCAAAAUAGAGAUCCGCUUAAGAAAUAGAAGGCCUAAGAAAAAAUAGAUAGUUAUUAAAAUGUUUGAGGUUGAAAAAAAAUUAAAAUGUUUGAGGUUGAAAUAUUUUUCAAACUUUUUGAAAAUAUUAGGAGCCAGCCCUGGAUUGCUGCAAGCACAUGUUAAAAUUUAAUUAAAUCUUACUAGUUCCAAACUUGAACUUUUUAAAUAUAAACCUUUUUUUAUUCAAAAUUAAGUUUCAACUACAAGUGUGUGAUUUGAAUUUAUUAAAUUCAUGACAAACUCUUUGUGUAUUUUGGAAAAAAAGUUUGAACAUUGAGUGGGGGUAGCAUCUAAAGCAUGAACAUCUUUAUUUUUAAUUUAAGUAACUAUGUUACUUGUACAUCUAUGACAGCAAUCAUCAUUUCAACAUAAAGAAGUGUCACCCAAUUGGGACUGGUUAGCCCGCUUUUGAUCACUGAAGGAAAGUUGAAACCGGAUUUAGGCCAUUAUAUGAUGUUUCCAAAGAACAUCACCAAAAACCUGUCAUAUAUCAACAAAUUUCUUAUAGCGAAUUGUGCGGAAUGCCAUACGAGUAACGACAGUCAUGACUAACGAGUACUUUGCUGUACGUUCAAAGGUAUAAGGUGUAUUGUGUUGUGUUAAACAUAGAAUCAAUCUAGGACCGUCAAAUGCAAUGGUAGAGCCGAGCGGUUUGGACGUUUUAGAUCGGCCACAACUCAUGGCUUUUACAUAAGGGGUGGUGGAGACAAACUUGUUCUGUAGUGUUGUAAUGACAGUAUUGAGAGAUGCAUAAAACUGAGAUGGAGAGGCACAUAACACGUGAGCAUUUGUAUAUAACUCCGGGCUCAAACACACCCUUGCACUGAUGGGUGAUGACUAAAUCCAUACAUUUAACCCAGCUAGUCAAUGUGCCUAUCAACACAGGCGGCACAUUACACACCGACACCAACACAAACAGCUUGCAGUAUCUCCACCAAAAGACCCAACCAUAUAGACUCUGUGCUAGAUCACAUACAUAUAUACACAUGUUUGACUCAAUCGUGUGCAUGCAUAGUCCUCGCUCUACCUAAUUAACCGAUGAGCUAAUUAAUUAAUGAAGUUCAGCGGCUGAAAUUACUGAAACCGCAUGCAUAUCAGCCGAUCUUCUCCGUGUUGGUGUCGUCGGUUGGCCAGAUGACCGUCUCCAUGAGCCUCUCCC
rnacentral:lncRNA from 1 species